GACGUAGGAUGCAAGCGUUGUCCGGAAUUAUUGGGCGUAAAGAGCUCGUAGGCGGCUUGUCACGUCGGGUGUGAAAGCCCGGGGCUUAACCCCGGGUCUGCAUUCGAUACGGGCAGGCUAGAGUGUGGUAGGGGAGAUCGGAAUUCCUGGUGUAGCGGUGAAAUGCGCAGAUAUCAGGAGGAACACCGGUGGCGAAGGCGGAUCUCUGGGCCAUUACUGACGCUGAGGAGCGAAAGCGUGGGGAGCGAACAGG
rnacentral:rRNA from 1 species